rnacentral:misc_RNA from 1 species
UUGAACGGAGGCAACGGCCGCUCGCCUCCGCGAUUGCGCACGUUCGGGUCCGCCUCGCGUUCGUCGCUCAUGAGCUUCAAGGGGAGGAUCGUUCCGAGUGUGUCCAGGGGUCGCAAAGGUGGACCAACCUUAUUCCUUGGCGCGACGUCUUGCAAGCGGCGAUCAAGCCUCACGCGCUGAUCACCCUUCGGACUUCGGCGAGGACCUCGCGGGGCUCGCACGGUUUCGUCAGAAAUCCGUCGCAGCCGACUUCUCGGGCCAUCUUCCGGUCUUCGGGGAAUGCGUGGGCAGUGAUCACGAUGACAGGAAUGUCCGCCGUAGCGGGGUCCCCCUUGAUCCACCGCGUGGCCGUCCAUCCGUCGAUG